rnacentral:lncRNA from 10 species
UUUUCUCAAAUUUCCAUUUGCUAAAGUGUCAUUUCCUACCCCCCACCCCAAACUAUGAUUUUAAUGGUAAGAGUGAGGAAAUAUCUGACAGUAAAAUAUUCCCUUCCGGCCAAACACCUGCUCCUUACCUCCCAUGUAGAAGAAUUACAGUCUUUCAACUCUGCGUUUUUCUUUCCCACAUCAAGAUCCCUACCCUAGGCCUGCUGAAUUGGAAACCCUUUUAGUAUCGGCACCCUUGGUGGUAGCAGGGUGUGUGGAUUCUAUGGGUAAGAUCUCCACUACUAAGCUCCACUACUGCGUGGGACCAUGAAUGAAUGCCUUAAAGACACUGGCUGGCCCAACCUGGACCUGUCGGAAACUUCUCCUUCACCACUAUGCCCCAGGGUCCCAAAUGCCCCAGGAUCCCAAAAAGAUUGCCACCUCUGACCUUUGAAAAUAUGAGCAUGUGAGCUUGAGGCAGCAGGAGAAGAGGAAGUGGGCUUUGACUGAUUUACAAUUCAGGGAACUAACUCUUGCCCAUAGCUUCUAGUGUGGUUCUUUCCAAGAGCCAGACUACCACUUUUGCUCCUCUCUUUUUCUCAUUUCAGGACCCUCUUCCAAUCCAUCUAUACCCUGUCCGGUUUAUGUUAGUGACAAAACAAGACUCCCCCAUCCUUCAAGGAGGUGGAGCAUCAGAAUCUUUUCAGAAUAGGGGUGGAGAGGAAAGGAUUCAGUUGUGGUGCCCUCAUUUGUGAGACUCGAGCCCUUGUUCAAAAUCAUCUUCUCAGAUAAAUCCCCACCAGAUCUGCCCAGAAAGUUUAUCAGACCCUCCAUGGCCCAUGUCAUUUUGGUUCCAAAUGUUUCAGGUGACUUUUGAAUUGCAACUGAAAAAGUUAUUCUGAUUUUUGACAUUAUAGAGUUCAUUAUCGACAGCUGGCUAUAAAUUACUAAAUUUAUAAUUAACUAUAUAAUCCCUGGCUUGUUUUUUUGCACCUCAAACUCACACUUAUUUCUGAUAAGCCUUAAUCAAAUAGGCAAUUAUUUCAUUCAUCUAUUAGCUUAGUAGGUGUCUUCCUUUCUUUAGGAAAUUCAGAUGAGGAAAAUGGUGCAGAUUGAAUCUAAGAAAGGUAGAGGUAUUAACAUAGGGAAACUAGCCAGUAUGACACAGAGAAAGCCUCUUACAUAUGUUGUAUAGCUAAAUUCCAGAGACGUUCCGGAGAAUCCAUAAAUAACUUUAACAAAUUGCUGGUUUUCAGAGCAUUAAAGAGCAAAGUAACCUGAUUAGAGUCUCUGCUAGCUUCCAGCCAACCAGUUUACCUUCCAGAAAAUGCAAAACAGUGUCUUGAGAUUAUGAGAUUUUUUUCCCCUCUUUUCUAUCAUAAGUUUCAUUUUUGCUUUUGAUUGUUGGCAGUAGUCUGAUGGUUGGGUCCCUCCUACAUGAGUAAACUUUUUGCAUGCUAAGGAUAAUAAUGUCUCAGAAUUAUUUUUGGCUAACGUCUCUUUCUUCUUUCCACAUUCUUUUCUUUUCUUUCUCUUUUUCUUUCUGUCUUCACCAUAGAAUGUAUGUUCUAUGAAACCAGGGACCAUGCUUGUCUUCCUCACCACGGUAUCUCCAGUUUCUAAUUCAGUAACUAGCAAAUUGGAGGCAUACAUGGACACAUGUAAAAUAUGCAAAACACAUAUGUUAACUAUUUUUAAAAUUAUGUAUGUGGGUGGUUACUGAUAUUUUCCUGUUGCUCUUCUUUACCAUCCUUGUCUCUGGUAAUAAAAACACACCUUUCCAAGGAAAGUCAAUCCACAUGUUUGAAUAAAGCUGAUGGCUUUCCUUCAGAUCUGGAUACUGGAUACCGAGCCUGACAAGUCAGAGUGCCCCAUACAUCUGGCCAGAGCUGAUGGUUCUGGGAAGAACUCUGCCCACUGGACAUUUGCUCAAACCAUUAGCUGAAAGCACUUUUCCUCUGGGAUCAGACAAUCUAAGGAUCAUGUAUUAAGAAGGAAAGUUGAACUGCUGUAACAAAUACCUUUAAAUUCUCAGUGGUUUCACAUAAAGUGUAUUCUUUGCUCCUGUCACUGUCCCCUGUGGGUUGAUGGCCAGCACAGUAGUGAUCCAUGCAGUAGGAGCUCAAGCUUGCUCUAUCCUGUAGUCUUUCCCCUCAACUGCCUCCAAGGCUGAUGCAGAAAGAGAAGAAAGAGAGAGAGAUAGUAGAGAAGGCACAGUCUCCCUUGCUUGCCUCUUCCUAGAAGUAGCAUACUUCUGGUCCAUUGGCAGAAAUAUAGUCCAUAUGGCAGUAAUAGCCCUAUGGCCCCACCCAGAUGUAAAGAUGGUAGUGGGAAGCUGAAAACUACAAACCAGUAGUGAGCCAAGAAGAAGAAAGAGGGGGAAACAUCUAGCCAGUCUCUGCUGAUUGCCAUUUUAUCUCACAGAUCCCACCAAAUGGGAAAAGUCUAAGAAUGAAGUUGAACAGAGAUGAGAAAGGGAGAAGGCAGGAGGAAGUAAAAAAGAGAGGAGAGAAAAAGGGGAGAUAAAUCAUCACAAUCCUCGAAUCCAAUAAUGUUAAUAAAAUUCUUACUUUUGUUUAAGUAAGUGUAAUCAGGGAUUUUGUCACCUAAAACAGAAAUAACCUGGUUAACAUACUACUUUGUCCUGGCCAUGUUAUGUCUAGCCCCUAGCUCAGUCCUUUGCAUAUAUAUUAGAUAAUCUAAGUAUUUUUGGUAUCAACGAGCAUAAGAAUGAAUACUUAAUAUUAAGACAUUGAGUUAAAACUGUGUAUAGUUAUUGGUGCGAUCGAUGUUAACUAACAAGCUUAUCUCUUACAUUAUUCCUAAAAGUUGUAGUCUCAGGUAACUAAUAAGUGUGCAACAUUUAUUCUAUUAUUGUAGUUCCUGUUUUUCUGUUCUGUCACUUACCUAUGAAUGUCACUUACCUGCUGGUCUAUGUAAAAAUUGUCAGUGCCUUUUAUCUGGGUGGGUAUACUAAAUAUAAAAUGUUUACAUUCGUAAUUAAUCAAAACCAAGACUUCCAUUGUAAUUCUAUUAUUCUAAGCUUGCCUAGUCUUACUAAAUACCGUAAUUAUCUGUAAAAUCCUGGAAUGUAAGGACAUUAACCUUCCUCCAGUGUUUAUUCUGAAGAAAUGUUUGGCUAGCCUUCCUCAUCUCACUGCGUGACCUUGCAGUAUAGAAAAAUACCAAUCAUCGUGGCUCUUAAACAGUUAGAACUAACUGCCUAGCUGAACAUCAUAACAAAAUUCUUCUACCAAACGACAAGGCAUGGAAGGAGAACACUCCCCGUGUGCUAACUUUCUUUAUGGUCGAGCACACCCUGCCAAAACAAGCAGCCAAAAGGCCUGACUUUAUGUCCUAGCCUAGGCACUGUAUGGGAUCCUGGGGAAGUUAUUUAGAUACUUUGUGUACUUUUUUCCUCAUCUGCAAAAGAGUGACAAUUAUAACACAUGCCUCAUUGGGUUUUUAUGAAGGUUAGCAAGGUUAAGAAUUUGAAUUGGUGUGCAAUACCUAGUACAUGGCAAAUAAAUAAUAAAUGUAUUAUUGUUAUUUUAAAUUACCCACUAUAGCAGUUAAGGGUUUUGUUUUAACUCUUUCAUUUUCACUUAAAUUUUGCCUCAGAGAUUACCUCUGACUUUGUUCUGAUAGAAGCUUUUGGAAGAGAAUCACUAAGGCUGCGAGCAAUAAAGAAGUUUAAGACAUUUCAGUUACUAAGGCUGGAGAAAAGUCUGAUGCAAAUAAGUAGAAAAUCCAAAAAGGUGUAUAAAGAUGCACAACUUCUAUGUGGACUACAUAUAGAGAAGACUUUUAAGAAACAGUGCAUCCUUUCCAUUCAUGUCCUUUUGUGUUUAUAGUCCCUGAUAGUGUUAAAGCCAUUUGUGUGCUUAUUUUUCUGUUGCUCCUGUCACAUGCCAGGCUGCCAUCACACAGAGCAUGAGGACUCCAUCUACACACAUGGCACCUCCGGUGCCUAGCACAACAUCGGACUUUACAAUUUUUUGACAAACAUUGGCUUAAUUGAUUUCAAUUAAAUCAAUCUCAUAUAGUCCCAUAGAGUUUAGGUGAG